GCAUGGACGAAUUCUGUUUUACUCUUCCUGUAGUAAACACAGUCAGACACCAUGCCAGAUUACUACGCUCUCCUUUUCUCAUAGUGGUGCAUUACUGUGUUCUCACUCAUUUGUGGGGAAGCGAACAAUC